UACGGAGGCGCAAGCGUUACGUCGGAAUCACGUGGGCGUAAAGAGCGUGUAGGCGGGUUAAUAAGUCAGAAGUGAAAUCCUAUAGCUCAACUAUAGAACUGCUUUUGAAACUGUUAACCUAGAAUAUGGGAGAGGUAGAUGGGAAUUUCUGGUGUAGGGGUAAAAUCCGUAGAGAUCAGAAGGAAUACCGAUUGCGAAGGCGAUCUACUGGAACAUUAUUGACGCUGAGACGCGAAAAGCGUGGGGAGCAAACAGGAUUAGAUACCCGCGUAGU
rnacentral:rRNA from 1 species